UCUCUGUGAUGAAGAAAAUGAUAAGAUGACGAGUCCGAUCAAUUUUCCAUUCUUUCAAUGGUGACGACAAAUCGAGGCAUUUGUCUGAGAGAA